rnacentral:rRNA from 1 species
CUACGGGGGGCAGCAGUGGGGAAUAUUGCGCAAUGGGGGAAACCCUGACGCAGUGACGCCGUGUGAGUGAUGAAGGUUUUCGGAUCGUAAAGCUCUGUCAGACGGGAAGAAUAAGAACAGUAAAAAUAUUGCUGUCUGAUGACGGUACCGUCAGAGGAAGCACCGGCUAACUCCGUGCCAGCAGCCGCGGUAAUACGGAGGGUGCAAACGUUGUUCGGAAUUACUGGGCGUAAAGCGCAUGUAGGCGGAUAUGUAGGUCAGAUGUGAAAUCCCUUGGCUCAACCAAGGAAGUGCAUCUGAAACCCCAUAUCUUGAGUACGAGAGAGGGAAGUGGAAUUCCCAGUGUAGAGGUGAAAUUCAUAGAUAUUGGGAAGAACACCGGUGGCGAAGGCGGCUUUCUGGCUCGUAACUGACGCUGAGAUGCGAAAGCGUGGGGAGCAAACAGGAUUAGAUACCCUUGUAGUC